rnacentral:rRNA from 1 species
GCUGAAGUCGGUCCCAAGGGUAUGGCUGUUCGCCAUUUAAAGUGGUACGCGAGCUGGGUUUAGAACGUCGUGAGACAGUUCGGUCCCUAUCUGCCGUGGACGUUGGAGACUUGAGAAGAGCUGCUCCUAGUACGAGAGGACCGGAGUGGACGAACCGCUGGUGUUUGGGUUGUCAUGCCAAUGGCAUUGCCCAGUAGCUACGUUCGGACAGGAUAACCGCUGAAAGCAUCUAAGCGGGAAGCCCCCUUCAAGAUUAGGUCUCCCUGAGAGCUUGACUCUCCUAAAGGACCCUUGAAGACUACAAGGUUGAUAGGUUGGGUGUGGAAGUGCAGCAAUGCAUUGAGCUAACCAAUACUAAUGAUCCGUGAGACUUGACUCUAUAACACCCAAG